UACGAAGGGGGCGAGCGUUGUUCGGAAUUACUGGGCGUAAAGGGCGCGCAGGCGGCCCUUGAAGUCAGGCGUGAAAGCCCCGGGCUCAACCUGGGAGGUGCGCUUGAUACUCGAGGGCUUGAGUGCGGGAGAGGAGAGUGGAACUGCGAGUGUAGAGGUGAAAUUCGUAGAUAUUCGCAAGAACACCAGUGGCGAAGGCGGCUCACUGGCCCGGUACUGACGCUGAGAUACGAAAGCGUGGGGAGCAAACAGG
rnacentral:rRNA from 1 species